rnacentral:lncRNA from 1 species
AUGUGUCCAACCUCAUUUCCAAGUCCAGCUUUCUCCACCACCACGUGGGCUCCACAUGAGGCUGUGCUUGGGCAUACCUUCCAGCUGAGCUGCAGCAGGCUGCAAAGAGGGAGAGCCCAGCUCUCACUCACUUGGCAGGAAGGGAGCAAGAGAUGUUUUCAUCUCCAGCCUCGACCUCCAGCAGCUCUUCUGAACUUGGUUGUUCCUGAGCACCAGCUAAUCAGCCAAAAAGGAGUGGGUUUGCCUUUUUGGCAGAGCAAACUCUCUCUCCCCAGCUGUCUUCAGCUCUCCCCGCGGGCACGGCCAUGUGCUCCUUCAUGUGAAGGAAGUGUUGUUUGCCGUCCUGCCUCGUUUUGCAGGCAGGACACGGGAGCACCCAGGGAUGUGUCAACAGAGAUGAACUGGUGUCUGCUCCUGGGGAAGCGCAGACCCCCUCUGCUUAGGAGCCAAGGUAGCUCUGAAGCUCCACCUCAUGUUGCAGGCCUCAGACUUGAGGAUCUCUACCAAGAAGGAAGCACCCUGUGUGCAAGGAACGCCUCGGAAAAGAACAAAUCAAACCCCCGAAGCCAAUUGCAUGUUUCCUAUAUCUCUUUAUUGACUGCCAGUGACCGAGUUCUCAGGCUGAGUGCCAGAUACCAGUGGAUCAGGUGGAGCUACGCUAGAAGUACAGCGAGGGCAAGAGCAAGGGGGUGA